UCAGGGACCUACUCCGACAUGCAUUUCUGACUUACAAUUAAUGAAGACUGCACUCCCCGAUGCUCUCAUGGUUGGCUUGAGGCCACAUGACUAGUUCUGGCCAGUGGUAAAUGAAAUGGAGUGCUCACCUCCAGACUGAGAUGGAGAGUGGGUGUGAGUGCUCCAUACUCUCUCUCCCCGUCAUGUGUUGAGCUGGCAUUGUCACUAAAGAAAAGCAACCCAGAUUGCUAGAUCAUCACAUGGAGGACAGCCACCCUGGUGAAUCACCCAAUUCACAGAGGUCUUCAUGUAUGAGCAACUUGGGAAACAGAAGUACAGGCCCUCUUGGAGGAUGGUGACCAGAUGACCCACUCUUCUUUUCCCAAAGAGUAGAUGUUCUGAUUUGAGUCACCCAUCCACACUCACAGGCUGGAUCCAUCUUAUGACCGAUGGGGAACAAAAUUUCUCAUCCUGAUACACUGGAUCUUUGAUGAUGGCAGUAAGGAAACAUCCACGCCCCUUGGUUAAAAGACCUGAGACUGCAAGUGCUGCUGGCUGCCCGGAAGAGGCCAUGAUUGUUUCCGGUAAAGCAUGAGGCUGGGGUUACUGCAGUUACUCCAUGGAAGGUCGGAGGCUGCUGAACAGAGAGACUCAGGACAGACAGCAGCAGUAGGACCCUCGAAGGUGAAACCUCAGCAGCAGAUGAGCUAUUGCUGGAUGCUCCUGAUUAUGGAUUCCUCUUCAUCUCUCUCCAUUUAUAUUCCAAGCUGUUACCCUGAGUAAAUCGUACCAUGUCUAACUAAUGUACUACUCCACUUUGAUUUGAACAGAAAGGGGGAAAAUAUGUUGAUACCCCUGCCAGCAGGACAGGAACUAUGCCUAAUUUGGAAUGUCCAUCAUGAUAACAUUAAUCCGCACCAUUAUCAAAGUGAGUAGUUAUACAGGUGGCUGCCUGUCUUCAUGGCUUGGUAUUUAACCUGUAUGAGUUUCCAGGUGACAAUGUAUUUGAGGAAGAAUUCUCUCAGAAACCAUCCUUAAGAUUAUUGUCAAAUUCCUUAAUAAAGAAUUGGAAGCCAAACACGCUAGGCUAAAUGCAAAGACAACCGGUAGGCAACAGAUCGCCACCUCCUGAAGUCUUAACUGCCGACAGCGCUGAUGGAUGACACCUUGGAGGAGGUGCUGUCCGUCCCCAGUCUUGCCAUCUGAGGGCAGCCACCACGUCACAGUGUGGUUCUACCCUAAGGCUGUCUUGUGUAUCUCCAAAUGUACGAGUACAAGGUUUUUGCACACACUCGUGCCCUCUGAUGAGAUGAUAUUGGUAAUGAUAACCAUGGGGACGUCGCAGCCACUAGGAAAUGCUCUUUAAAUAAUCUCAUUUUGUUCCAACAACAAUUUGAAAUGGGAAGAACCAUCCAUUUUACACAUUUUGAAACAAGGGCUUGGACAGGUUAAGUACCUUGUCCAAGGUCACACAGCUACCAAGUGGCAAGGUAGGGACUUGAACUGGGUUCUAUCUGCCUCCAACUCAAAGCUCUUAAACACCAAACUCAUUGUCCCAGUACGGAGACACUGGCUUCCCUGAGGGAACUGUCAGAGGCUAGAAAACAUGGGCCUGAGAGAACUUUUAAAUAUGAAAUGAUAACUCUUUGCCUACUGAGAUUCUUAUCUGAAAAAACCCAGAGGAAGACCAAAUUUAUAUAGUUAUUCAACAUUCAUGUACAAUAUUUACAUUUACAAAAUGCUUUGAGAGUGUAAUAGAAUGGGCAGAAAUUUUUAUUUGGGCAUAUAAUUGUCCUUUUUUUCAUAUUCAUUUAUUCCUUUGAUUUAUAUAAUGUGUUCUCCACUUGGUCUUCUGAGAUUAUGUACAAUGGUAACAAAUCAAAAAUAAUAUUAAUAAAAGAUUAUUUUGUAUCACUCACAGGGAAAACUGA